AAGUCGUAACAAGGUUUCCGUAGGUGAACCUGCGGAAGGAUCAUUAUCGAAUUACUCGAGGGUUGUUGCUGGGGUCCCUAACCGGGAUUCAAAGUGCACGCCCUUGUCUACAUUCUCAAACCCCUGUGCACUUAUUGUAGGCUCGGUGGAAAGGCUGACUUCACGGUUGGCCUGAAAGCCUUGCCUAUGCUUUAACACACGCUUCAGUCUAUGAAUGUCAUUUUGCGGAUAACGCAUUUAAAUACAA
rnacentral:misc_RNA from 1 species